GGUUUCAUAAUGUAGUAGUUAGCAUGUCUGCUUUACACGCAGAAGGUCCUGGGUUCGUGCCCCAGGUGGAGCCA
rfam:Pteropus alecto contig166785, whole genome shotgun sequence.